rnacentral:rRNA from 1 species
UAGUCUCAGUUCGGAUUGGAGUCUGCAACCCGACUCCAUGAAGCUGGAUUCGCUAGUAAUCGCGCAUCAGCCACGGCGCGGUGAAUACGUUCCCGGGCCUUGUACACACCGCCCGUCAAGCCAUGGAAGCCGGGAGUGCCUGAAGUGCGUGAGCGCAAGCAGCGCCCUAAGGUAAAACCGGUGACUGGGGCUAAGUCGUAACAAGGUAUC